AGAUUAGUUGCUAAUUAUUUUUAUUUAGUACUUUGGGAUCAUGUUCUGACUACUUAUUAAAUAGUGGGACUUUAGAGAGUGCCUAAGUAAAUAAAGGGUGCAUAGUAUAAUUUUUAUACAUAAAACUCUAAAUUGGAUCAGAGAGGGUGCCGACCCCCAUUUUCUUUCUUUUUUCCUGCGUCUGCUUCAUGUUUCUUUUUCUCUCUCAUCAACAACACAAACCCUCAUGGUUCAAAUGCAAAAUCGAAGGUCAAGGCUCGUGAAUCUUGCAACAAGGCAAGAAGAAAACGUGAUCUACGGACAAAGGGCUGCGCAUCUAUCCAAACAAAAUUUCAAUCGGUCAAAUUUUGGGAUUUCAACAUUUUGGGGGUUUUCGUCUUUGAGGUUUCGAGAUGGAUCUGAAGGCUUAAGAAUCAUGGAUAUGUUCUAAUUCUUUUUUUUUUUUUGAACUUAAUUGGAUACUUGUACAUUUUUGUUUGUAAGGUUAUCGAGGCAUGUAAACUUUAAUUUUAUUUUGAGAAUGUAAAUUGUAGAUUGAAAGAACAGGGCCUGGAUGUGUAUAAAAAGUAGUGUAUUGUAGAGUUUAUUUGUAAUAAAGGGCGGGUCGUGACAGAA